GACGAACGCUGGCGGCGUGCUUAACACAUGCAAGUCGAACGGAAAGGCCCUGCUUUGGUUGGGUGCUCGAGUGGCGAACGGGUGAGUAACACGUGAGUAACCUGCCCUUUACUUUGGGAUAACUUCAGGAAACUGGGGCUAAUACCGGAUAGGAGCUCCUGCUGCAUGGGGGGGGUUGGAAAGUUUCGGCGUUUGGGGAUGGACUCGCGGCUUAUCAGCUUGUUGGUGGGGUAGUGGCUUACCAAGGCUUUGACGGGUAGCCGGCCUGAGAGGGUGCCCGGCCACAUUGGGCCUGAGAUACGGUCCGGCCUCCUACGGGGGGCAGCAGUGGGGAAUAUUGCACAAUGGGCGGAAGCCUGAUGCAGCAACGCCGCGUGCGGGAUGACGGCCUUCGGGUUGUAAACCGCUUUCGCCUGUGACGAAGCGUGAGUGACGGUAAUGGGUAAAGAAGCACCGGCUAACUACGUG
rnacentral:rRNA from 1 species